rnacentral:rRNA from 1 species
UACGUAGGGCGCAAGCGUUGUCCGGAAUUAUUGGGCGUAAAGAGCUCGUAGGCGGUCUGUCGCGUCGGCUGUGAAAACCCGGAGCUCAACUCCGGGCCUGCAGUCGAUACGGGCAGACUGGAGUUCGGCAGGGGAGACUGGAAUUCCUGGUGCAGCGGUGAAAUGUGCAGAUAUCAGGAGGAACACCGGUGGCGAAGGCGGGUCCCUGGGCCGAUACUGACGCUGAGGAGCGAAAGCGUGGGGAGCGAACAGG